rnacentral:rRNA from 1 species
CCUACGGGCGGCAGCAGUGGGGAAUAUUGGACAAUGGGGGCAACCCUGAUCCAGCCAUGCCGCGUGUGUGAAGAAGGCCCUCGGGUUGUAAAGCACUUUCAGUGAGGAAGAACGCCUGGUGGUUAAUACCCAUCAGGAAAGACAUCACUCACAGAAGAAGCACCGGCUAACUCCGUGCCAGCAGCCGCGGCAAUACGGAGGGUGCGAGCGUUAAUCGGAAUUACUGGGCGUAAAGCGCGCGUAGGUGGCUUGAUAAGCCGGUUGUGAAAGCCCCGGGCUCAACCUGGGAACGGCAUCCGGAACUGUCAAGCUAGAGUGCAGGAGAGGAAGGUAGAAUUCCCGGUGUAGCGGUGAAAUGCGUAGAGAUCGGGAGGAAUACCAGUGGCGAAGGCGGCCUUCUGGACUGACACUGACACUGAGGUGCGAAAGCGUGGGUAGCAAACAGGAUUAGAUACCCCAGUAGUC